UGACAGGAGAGAUAGGAGGUUCUCGUGGUGAAACAAGUCCCUCUGCUCAGGAGGCUGCAGUUUAAAGGAUUUCAAGGUGACCUUGGAAGUGGUCACUGACCUUGGAUAAGACCCUUAUAUGCCAGGCUGGUGGAGAACAGGUGGAGGGAGGCCUGAAGACAGCCCUAAACUGAGGGGUCUGGAAACCUGAUCACCGGCCCUGCCCUUGGCUUCAACUAAGUCCGGGUCACAUAAACAGCUUGAUGGAUUGCUGAGGCAGAGUGCACCGAGCAAGGGUUCAGUCCUCCAUAGAGCUCAGAGCAAAAGGAAUGACCCAGCCGGGAUGAACUUGAACCUAUGGCCACCUAGCUCUGGUUUCUGCUUGGACAUUUUAUUUCAAUCUUAUGGCCUGCCUUGCGCUCCAAGGGUUACUUAUUUCCUCUGCACAUAUUUUAUUUUGAUGCCAAAAUUUCAGAUCUGUUUUCUUAAGAGCAGAAGGUCUUGACCUCAAAGCCCGGGCCAUCACACAGCUCUCUGUGGAGUGGGGUGAGGGAGGCCAGCUGCCGGUCACCUUCUGCUCCAGCACCGUGGGAGGCCUGAGUGGCAAAGCUCCAGCCCCGCUGCUCCCGGGCGGUGUCCGCAACAAGAGGCUUCCGCCCCAUCCCACCAGCCAUCCACGGAGACGCCCUCCCCAGAGGUCAGGAGGGUAGCGGGGGAAGGAAAUGCCAAUCGUAAAUUGUAACCACUGAAAGUCCGCUGUUUCGAUUCUGGGCAAGAUGCUAUGGCAGAACAGGGACCAUGAUGAACUACUUAGAAAAAUACAUAAGGCCAUACCCAUGCAGGAGACCUCUCCAGGUACACAUAUUUCCUGCUACUGAAUGGCUUAGACUGGGAUUUGCAAGGAACUACGAAGUCCAAGACCUUUGCCUUUCUUUUAGAAGAAGGCACCAGCUGGUUCUCCAAUGUUGAAGGUCUUCUCCAGAGAUGAACUCUGAAAGCCACAUGUUGAGAUGGCCCCAUUACAGGAUGGAGAGCACCUGAACCCCCAAGUUAUGGACUAGAAGAAGACAGUUGCCCUGGAAAAUCAUCUGACCCACAUUGGACUUUAUGUGAGGGGGAAAUAAACCUUUAUUAUGUUAAGCUACACAAU
rnacentral:lncRNA from 10 species